CAACUACUCCCUCUGUCCCAAAUUUCUUGUCUUAGAUUUGUCUAGAUACGGAUGUAUCUAAUACUAAAAUGUGACUUGAUACAUCCGUAUCUAGACAAAUCUAGGACAAGAAUUUUGGGACGGAGGGAGUACUUU
rnacentral:pre_miRNA from 1 species